UGAAGCGAGACGGUGACGUUAAGCAAAUCACAAAAAACCCAAGUCCCAGUUCGGAUUGCAGUCUGCAACUCGACUGCAUGAAGCUGGAAUCGCUAGUAAUCGCGAAUCAGAAUGUCGCGGUGAAUACGUUCCCGGGCCUUGUACACACCGCCCGUCACACCAUGGGAGUUUGUAACACCCAAAGCCGGUGGGGUAACCUUUUGGAGCCAGCCGUCUAAGGUGGGACAGAUGAUUGGGGUGAAGUCGUAACAAGGUACC
rnacentral:rRNA from 1 species